CGGCCGCCCUGCCUCCCCCAGCGGCCCUCCCCUGCUAUCGCCCCGCGCCGCCUCCAUUGUCCUGCCUCGCACCCCGCCACGCCCCGCCCCUCCCGCAGUCCCCCAGGCCGCCCGGCACGAGAGGAAAGCUGCCACUCCCCCGGCGAGUGGUGGUCGCCUCGGGCAGGGUCCCUCGACGGCUCCGCUCAACCGCUCGCUUCGGAGGUUCAGGGUUUAGGCACUCGAUUUGUUCCAGACAUCCGUCGAGUGGCCGGGUUCUGUACUUCAGCGGCUCUCAGCAGCAGCAGCAGCAACCUGAACCUAAUUUUCUAAACAUAUCAACGCAAUCUUGGUACCCCCCCCCUCGGUAGGUGGUUCAUCUUCACUCCCAUCCACACCCAGCUCUUCCGGUGCUAGUCCACACCAAAGAGAUUCCGAUCAUCCUCAGCCUUUUUCACGUGGUCAACCGUCUCCAGCUAAAGCUGCAGGGAUAAUUGCUCGUUUGAGGGAUAAGAGGUACACUAUUGGCCUUCUUUACUUACAGUGUUUCUUGCAUCUUUUUGUAUACAAAACUGUGUCUGUAUUAUGGACUAUAAAUUGCAACCAACAUCUUAGUUUUACCAUGAUGCGAUGUAUAUUUGAAUGUUCAUCUUCAAACCGAGAUUUUUUAAACCUGGUAAACUUAUACUAUUUGAAGAAGUGUUCAUCUUAUAAGUUAUAACUUUCUAUAGUGUAUCACAUUACAAUGCUGAUUCAAGGCUGGCAUUUUCCAUGUUCCAGCUAGGAAUAAGGAAAGGAAACCACUAAUUUUUAGAUCUUACUAUGGGUAGUGGGUACAGUUUCAUAAUCCUCAAUUCUGCUUCAAGUAAUAAUACUGAGCAAGCUUUGUGUUAGCGGAUUGCUACAUCCAAGUUGUACAAAAGAUAUUUUAUCCUAACACCUUUGAAGAAUCCUUUCACUUUCUGGCAAUGUUGGGUAUAAUAAAA